rnacentral:rRNA from 1 species
CCCUAGUAACUGCGAGUGAAGCGGGAAAAGCUCAAAUUUAAAAUCUGACAGCCUUGGCUGUCCGAGUUGUAAUUUAGAGAAGCGUCUUCCGCGCCAAACCGUGCACAAGUCUCCUGGAAUGGAGCGUCACAGAGGGUGAGAAUCCCGUCUUUGGCACGGAUUCCUGGUGCUUCUGCGAUGCGCUCUCGAAGAGUCGAGUUGUUUGGGAAUGCAGCUCAAAAUGGGUGGUGAAUUCCAUCUAAAGCUAAAUAUUGGCGAGAGACCGAUAGCGAACAAGUACCGUGAGGGAAAGAUGAAAAGCACUUUGGAAAGAGAGUGAAACAGUACGUGAAAUUGUUGAAAUGGAAACGCUUGAAGUCAGUCCGCGGCCGAGAAUGACCAACCUUCCUUUGGCUUGGUGCACCUCUCGGCCUAGAAGGAUCAGCAUCAAUUUUGUUCCUCGGAUAAUGGCAAGGGAAAGGUGGCACCUUUGCGGGUGUGUUAUAGUCUCCUGUCGCAUGCGAGGGGUGGGAUUGAGGUGAACGUCUCUUCGUGAGACAGCAGCGCGUGCAUUGGUUGUAGUGCAUAUUGCAACUCGUGUGUCGGGGCUUCGGCCCACGUUAGCGCUCAGGAUGCUGGUUUAAUGACUUUAAACGACCCGUCUUGAAACACGGACCAAGGAGUCCAACACACCCGCGAGUGUUCGGGAGGAAAACCCGUGCGCGCAAUGAAAGUGAAAGUUGGGACCUCUGUAGUGGAGGGCACCGACGCCCGGACCAGACCAGAACUCCUGUGACGGAUCUGCGGUAGAAGCGUGUGUGUUGGGGACCCGAAAGAUGGUGAACUAUGCCUGAAUAGGGUGAAGCCAGAGGAAACUCUGGUGGAGGCUCGUAGCGAUUCUGACGUGCAAAUCGAUCGUCAAAUUUGGGUAUAGGGGCGAAAGACUAAUCGAACCAUCUAGUAGCUGGU